rnacentral:rRNA from 1 species
UACGAGGGGGGCAAGCGUUGUUCGGAAUUAUUGGGCGUAAAGGGCGCGUAGGCGGUGCGGUAAGUCACCUGUGAAAACUCUGGGCUCAACUCAGAGCCUGCAGGCGAAACUGCCGUGCUUGAGUGUGGGAGAGGUGCGUGGAAUUCCCGGUGUAGCGGUGAAAUGCGUAGAUAUCGGGAAGAACACCCGUGGCGAAGGCGGCUCUCUGGGACGGUACUGACGCUGAGACGCGAAAGCGUGGGGAGCAAACAGG